rnacentral:rRNA from 1 species
UACGAAGGGGGCAAGCGUUGUCCGGAUUUACUGGGCGUAAAGAGCGCGCAGGCGGUCGUGCAAGUCGCGUGUGAAAGCCCCCGGCUCAACUGGGAGGGUGCGCCGAAUACUGAGUGACUCGAGUGCGGGAGAGGGAGAGUGGAAUUCCUGGUGUAGCGGUGAAAUGCGUAGAUAUCAGGAGGAACACCGGUGGUGUAGACGGCUCUCUGGACCGUAACUGACGCUGAGGAGCGAAAGCAUGGGGAGCGAACAGG